AUGUACAUUCCUACAACAUAGCGUUAAUGCGUCGAAUCCCAUUAGAAUUCCGCAGUUAAGUGCGUUCAGGAUAGAGUAGUACUGGGGUGGGUGACUGUCUGGGAAGUCCUAGUGUUUUACAUG
rfam:Picea glauca, whole genome shotgun sequence.